AUUUACAAAUAUUUUUUUUUGCCCCAUUUUUAUUAUAUAAAGUAUGGUUUUCAAAGUUACUAACUCACGUGAUCGUGACACGUGUCAAGUCUAUCGUUCAUAUGUUGACAUGUGUCAAAAACU
rnacentral:sRNA from 1 species